AAGAUCGCACCAUUGCACUCCAGCCUGGUUAACAAAAGCAAAACUCUGUCUCAAAAAAAGAAAAAAAGAGAAAGGGUGGAAAAGAGGGAUUCCAGAGUGCCAGGCACACAGAUUUUCUGGAAGGUUUACAUGAGGACUGCUGUGGUUUGAAUGUGUUCCCCAAAGUUCAUGUGUUGGAAACUCAACCCCUAAUGCAACAGUGUUGAUCAGUGGAACCUUUAAGAGGUGAUUAGGUCAUGAAGGCUCUGCCCUCAUGAAUGGAUGAAGGUAGGGUGGGUUAGUUAUCUUGGGAGGGGGUUCCUGAUAAAAGGAUGAGGUUGGCUUCCUCCCUUUCUGUCUUUCCCCUUCUCCCUCUCACAUGUGGUCACUCUCUUGCCCUUUUACCUUCCAGCAUAGGACAACACAGCGAGACCUUCACCAGAUGCAGGCCCCUCACUUUCCCAGUGUUCAGAACCAUAAACCAAGUGAACCCUUAUAAAUCACCCAGUCUGUGGUAUUCUGUUAUAGCAACACAAACAGACUAAGACAGGGACACUCAGUGAGCUCUUCUCUCUACUUGAUGGAGCACUCCCUGCGUGGUGCCUUGUAUUUGUAGACAUGAUGCUGUAAAUGCUCUUUGAGUGUCUCGAAGGCUUUUAUGUUUGAGGAGUUUACAGAGAAGCCCGUACAGGGUUCAGGUCCAUUCUGUUGCUUCUUUGCUCCUUAGUUCCUCCCCUAAUCUGAUGUUAAAUUAGAUCAUAGUGUGGUCCUUGGACCAAUAGUAUCAGUAGCACCUGAAAAUCAUGCUGGAAAUACAGAUUCACAGGCUGCUCCCCAGAAUACUGAAGAAGAAACUCUAGGAGUGAGACCCAACAAUCUGUGUUUAACAAGUCCCCAGGCCCCUGGAUCCUCCUGGAAUCCCUGAUCCCUGUUGCUCCCUUGCGGAGUUUUCUAGUCCCUCUUAUUUGAAGCAUGUCUUUCAGAGCCUCGCACCACCCAGCUUGGGUAUCUGGUGAAUUCUGUGGUCUGCAUGUCCAUGUUUUUGACAUUCUGGGAAGGGUGGCCCAGGCUGUGAUUUGCCAUCUACUGCUGCAGGCUAUGGAUGGUAUUCAGAAGGGAGGGGAGAUGCUGUGUGCGUGUUCUGAAGGGUUUCCCACUAAAUGGAGAGACUGACUCUCUCCAUAAGUAUUUGAUUUUUACUUUAUCUCCUCGUUGACUUCACAGUGUAAGUGCAGUUUGUCUCUACUGGGUGAUGCAUGCAGAUAAAUGUUUAUGUGAACAUAAGAAGUCUGCAUGUGUGGGUGAACUCUCCACAUCAUGUCAUUUAUUGUCCAUCAUUACGUAUCUGUGGUGUCUAGCACAUUCCUCUACCUUAUUUUCUGUCAUUGUACCUACUUCUACCUGAACACGUAUUAAAUAUCUUAUUAAAAAUACACAAAUAUUA
rnacentral:lncRNA from 1 species